CACGUAGGGCGCAAGCGUUGUCCGGAAUUAUUGGGCGUAAAGCGCACGUAGGCGGUUCGUUAAGUCGGAUGUGAAAGCCCUCGGCUCAACUGAGGAAGUGCACCCGAAACUGGCGAGCUUGAGUACUUAAGAGGAUCGCGGAAUUCCCGGUGUAGAGGUGAAAUGCGCAGAUAUCAGGAGGAACACCGAUGGCGAAAGCAGCUCGCUGGGACGGUACUGACGCUGAGGCGCGAAAGCGUGGGGAGCAAACAGG
rnacentral:rRNA from 1 species